CAGAGGGGUGUGGGGGGGAAGUAAUAAUAAUAAGGCUGCCCCUUCAGAUGAUAUGUUGGGAGGAGGCUGGAGCUGGAAGAGCAACUGUGAUACUUGUGAUCACCAUGUGGUGAGCAGAGGAAACUCCCCUCUCUUCCACCCUCAUGUCAGGAGCCUGUGCUCAAGGAGCAAAGAUGUGUAAAUCACAGAAGAACUGCCCAUGAUUUUCAAGACUUCUCCUAUUCCACUGUUUGGACCUGCUACACCUGUAGCAGAGAAUCUGCCUUUCUGAGCACGUUUUGUUCUGAAGAUUUCAAGUUCUUCUUAUGUGACUUUUUUUUUUUUUUUUUUUUUCAAAAAUGACUGUGAUAAAGUGCCAGGAUACAAAUAAAUUGGUCACCAAGAUAAGGAGCCGAGUUAUUGCCAUCCAGUUCAGCAGUUCAUCCUGAAUCCAGCAAAUACACACAGAAGCUGCGUUCUUGACUCCUUCUGAACACCUGCCUACAGAUGCAUUGCAGAAGAUGUACAAAACCUAUAGAAAAAAAAUGAUCUGAGAAGGAUUUUAUUCAUUCUAUCCUUUUCUGAGAAGUGUGGAGGAGGACAUGGUAAUUUUUCAGCUCUAAAAGAUGCUUUUUACCUUAUUACAUGGGCAUUGCAUUAUAACAUUUUCUUGAGGGAAACAGUAAUCAAAAAUUCCAGAAAGAAAGAACAAACACAAGUUCCUUGCCUAAAACAAUCAUCCCCUG